GAUGAAGAACGUAGCGAAAUGCGAUAAGUAAUGUGAAUUGCAGAAUUCAGUGAAUCAUCGAAUCUUUGAACGCACCUUGCGCCCUUUGGCCAUUCCGAAGGGCAUGCCUGUUUGAGUAUCAUGAACACCUCAACUCUUUAUGGUUUUCCAUGAUGAGCUUGGACUCUGGGGGUUUUGCUGGCUCACAGUCGGCUCCUCUAAAAUGAAUCAGCUUACCAGUGUUUGGUGGGUAUCAUGGGUGUGAUAACUAUCUACGCUUGUGGUUUUUCCACCAGUUAACCUUCAGCAGUGGAGGUUCGCUGGAGCUCAUAGAUGUCUCUCCUCAGUGAGGACAGCCCUUUGAAUGUUUGAUCUCAAAUCAGGUAGGACUACCCGCUGAACUUAAGCAUAUCAAUAAGCGGAGGA
rnacentral:misc_RNA from 1 species